rnacentral:tRNA from 1 species
AGAAAAGUCUUAGAGUUUGCACCUCUUUAAAGCAUUUUAGCCUUUUCUA